GGACAGUUGAAAAGUGCAUGGAUGACGUGUGGGUAGCGGAGAAAUUCCGAACGAACUUGGAGAUAGCCGGUUCUCUCCGAAAUAGCUUUAGGGCUAGCGUCUACAUUAGAGGUUCUUGGAGGUAGAGCACUGUUUGGGUGAGGGGUCCAUCCCGGAUUACCAAGCUCAGAUUAACUCCGAAUGCCAAUGAAUUAUGGUCGGCAGUCAGACUGCUAGUGCUAAGAUCCGUAUUCGAAAGGGAAACAGCCCAGACCACCAGCUGAGGUCCCAAAAUAAUUGUUAAGUGGAAAAGGAUGUGGGGUUGCACAGA
rnacentral:rRNA from 1 species